ACUAAAUAAUUUUGGAAUUGAGCCUGACAGAACAUGUGAAACUUCUGGCCAUGCUGCAUAUAGAAGGUGUACAUUUUUGAAUGUUUCACAUUUAUGUAAUUAGCUGACAUACCCAGUUAGAUUGGGGGCUACUGCAUGUUUUGCCAUACGUGACGUUAUCACAUUUGUGCAUAAACGGUACUACUUUUUGUUUCCUUUGUUUCUGUGACUGUUUUAAUUUACUUUUUAGUGUGUCUC